rnacentral:rRNA from 1 species
GACGAACGCUGGCGGCGUGCUUAACACAUGCAAGUCGAACGGAAAGGCCCAGCUUUUGUGGGGUUCUCGAGUGGCACACGUGUGUGUAACACGUGUGUACUCUGCCCUUGAUUUUGGUAUAACUUCAGGAAUCUGGGGCUAACACCGGAUAGCAGUCCCUGCGGCAUGGUGGGGGUUAGAUAGUUUGGGUGGUUGGGGAUGGACUCGCGGCUUACCAGCUUGUUGGUGGGGUAGUGGCUUACCAAGGCGUUGACGGGUAGCCGGCCUGAGAGGGUGGCCGGCCACAUUGGGACUGAGAUACGGCCCAGACUCCUACGGGAGGCAGCAGUGGGGAAUAUUGCACAAUGGGCGGAAGCCUGAUGCAGCGACGCCGCGUGCGGGAUGACGGCCUUCGGGUUGUAAACCGCUUUCGACUGGGACGAAGCGUUGGUGACGGUACCUGUAGAAGAAGCACCGGCUAACUACGUG